UACUUAGGAUGCGAGCGUUAUCCGGAUUUAUUGGGUUUAAAGGGUGCGUAGGCGGGUGUUUAAGCGUGAGGUGAAAUGCCGGGGCUCAACCUCGGAACUGCCUCGCGAACUGGGCGCCUUGAAUGCUCCUGCCGUGGGAGGAAUGUGUGGUGUAGCGGUGAAAUGCAUAGAGAUCACACAGAACACCGAUUGCGAAGGCAUCUCACGAAGGGGUGAUUGACGCUGAGGCACGAAAGCGUGGGGAUCAAAC
rnacentral:rRNA from 1 species